AAGGGAGCGCUGUGAUUGGGUUAGGAAAAGGAUUCUGUUGCUGAGAGGAAACACAGACCAGAGUUUACAAAAAAAAAAAAAAAAAAAAAAAAAAAUCACAGAAACAGAAACAAAAGCGCGGCUGAAAAAGGUGACGGACGGGCUGAAGCGCAGAAGCCAUCGACUCCGCCCUCUCCGAGCCUUCUCCCACCCGGGAUUGGCCGACUGGACCCGCCUGUCAACCUGAAUCUGACAGUCCGCCCCGCCCCGAGGAGUUGCAGCCGCGGGGACUGGCUACUGUACCUGUCAGUGAAUUCUGAUUGGAUAGACGGGCCAGCUGUUAGAGG